CCUGCGAAGGCAAGCGGAUCUCUUAAAGCCGUUCUCAGUUCGGACUGUAGGCUGCAACUCGCCUACACGAAGCUGGAAUCGCUAGUAAUCGCGGAUCAGCACGCCGCGGUGAAUACGUUCCCGGGCCUUGUACACACCGCCCGUCACACCAUGAGAGUCUGUAACACCCAAAGCCGGUGGGAUAACCUUUAUAGGAGUCAGCCGUCUAAGGUAGGACAGAUGAUUAGGGUGAAGUCGUAACAAGGUAUC
rnacentral:rRNA from 1 species